rnacentral:rRNA from 1 species
CAAAAACAUAGCCUGUAGUAAUGAUUAUAGGUGAACCCUGCCCUAUGAAUUUUAAAUGGCCGCAGUACUCUGACUGUGCUAAGGUAGCGUAAUCAGUUGGCUUUUAAAUGGAGUCGAGUAUGAAUGGGUUUACGGAAACGAGCUGUCUCCUAUUUGGUUAUUUUGAAGUUUCUUUGAGGGUGCAAAGUCCCUUAAUUAGAAAAAAGACGAGAAGACCCUUAGAGUUUUUAUUAAAGAUAAGAAUUUAUUCAAGUUUUUGCUGGGGCGGCAAAGAGACAGAUGAUUGAACUCUCUUUUUAUUAUUUUUAGAAGACGAAAAUGUUAAGAAUCGUUAAACUACCUUAGGGAUAACAGCAUAAUUAAGUUUUAGUUUGUGACCUCGAUGUUGGACUAGGAAGGCUUUUGACCAGCAGUCAAAAAGUGUGGUUCUGUUCGAACUAAGUUUCCUACGUGAUCUA